UCCCCCACCCUCUGCAGCACAGCUGGGCGCUGCUGAGGCAGAGACCCCGAAAGCCCUGGGGGCUCUGAGGGCAGCGGGGCUCCCUCAAACCUCAGCAAAGCCCAGGGAAGGCGCCCGGAGGGCCUGGGGAGCAGCGUGCUUUCCCCACUCGGUCCCCCCUGGCAGAACCGGACUCUCGGGGGCCUCAGCAGUGCCCAGCCCAGCCUCACCCAGCGCUGCCCGGAGCCAGAGGAAGAUGAAGGUGGCUCUGCUCAGCGUGGCCCUGCUCUUCUCCAUCCUGCUGUGCCCCCCGGCUCAGGCCCAGGCACCCCCGGAAGAAACCCAAGAUGAUCUCGUGAAGGUGGAUUUAGACGAUGGGGACGUGGAUGUGGACGUGCCUCUGGACGAACUGGAUGAAAGGGUGAAGGAACUUCUGCGGCAGAAGCGCGCCGUGGCUGCCUCUCUGAGGGUCUAGGGUCAGAAGGAGCGGUGUCCUUUUCCUCUCCAGGGGCAUGAGGAGAUGAUCAUCCCUG
rnacentral:lncRNA from 1 species